GUGCACUUGGUAGCACAUAUAUUAAAAUUGGAACGAUACAGAGAAGAUUAGCAUGGCCCCUGCACAAGGAUGACACGCAAAUUCAUGAAGCGUUCCAUAUUAAA